CAGAGGGUGCGAGCGUUAAUCGGAAUUACUGGGCGUAAAGCGAGUGUAGGUGGCUCAUUAAGUCACAUGUGAAAUCCCCGGGCUUAACCUGGGAACUGCAUGUGAUACUGGUGGUGCUAGAAUAUGUGAGAGGGAAGUAGAAUUCCAGGUGUAGCGGUGAAAUGCGUAGAGAUCUGGAGGAAUACCGAUGGCGAAAGGCAGCUUUCCUGGCAUAAUAUUGACACUGAGAUUCGAAGACGUGGGUAGCAAACAGGAUU
rnacentral:rRNA from 1 species